rnacentral:rRNA from 1 species
ACGGGUGAGUAACGCGUGGGAACGUACCCUUUGAUCUGGAAUAACUGUGGGAAACUGCAGCUAAUACUGGAUAUACCCUUCGGGGGAAAGAUUUAUCGUCAAAGGAGCGGCCCGCGUUAGAUUAGGUAGUUGGUGGGGUAAUGGCCUACCAAGCCUGCGAUCUAUAGCUGGUCUGAGAGGAUGAUCAGCCACACUGGGACUGAGACACGGCCCAGACUCCUACGGGAGGCAGCAGUGGGGAAUAUUGGACAAUGGGGGCAACCCUGAUCCAGCAAUGCCGCGUGAGUGAAGAAGGCCUUCGGGUUGUAAAGCUCUUUUACCAGGGAAGAUAAUGACGGUACCUGGGGAAUAAGCUCCGGCUAACUUCGUGCCAGCAGCCGCGGUAAUACGAAGGGAGCUAGCGUUGUUCGGAAUUACUGGGCGUAAAGGGCGCGUAGGCGGUCAUAUAAGUCAGAUGUGAAAGCCCCGGGCUUAACCUGGGAACUGCAUUUGAUACUGUAUGACUAGAGAUCGAAAGAGGAGAGUGGAAUUGCGAGUGUAGAGGUGAAAUUCGUAGA